CCACAAGGAGCCACGGUUGUGAGAAUGGGGGCAACACCUGGACCUCUCUGGCCCAGGGACCCGGCCAGCCGCUGGCAGCCCUCACCCACCCUGGAGACACGAUAACACAGAGCUACCCAGGGACAAACACCUUGGCCCACAGACUGUCAGCGCAGAGGGCAGGCCCAGGCUGCAGGCUCUAUUGCACUGUGAAAUGUGCAUGCGCCAUCCUGAAUUUAGUGCCUGCCGCCCUCUCGGGGCCAGGCCUAGCGGCCCAAGAGUCUGCUACUUAGCAAACCCUAGGAGAGAUGCUCCUUGAGCUUAAGGAGUCGGGGCUUGUGCUUCGGGCAGUGAAAGGGCCUGGCUCCUGCCGUGUACGUCUGGGUUCAUCACAGACCUGCCUGCAUUGAAUUCUCCUGUAACAUGACGUCCUGUCCUCACUGUGCAAUUGCUCCCUAACUGCAAGGGUGCAGGGUAAGCCAGGAACAAGCUCCCACAAGCCCUGAGGAGCCGGACCACCCCUUGCCUGUCCCCAGAGCAGCCAGGCUGUUGUGGCCUACACAGCCGGGGGUCCUCCUUUGAAAUCCCUUGUUCCCAGUCACGGCGCGCAGUAAAUCAGAGAUGAGGGCCGGCAGGGGCGGAGCUCUUGAUCCUUUGUAUUUCUCUGGAGACACAGAACGCAGCGGGGAAAAGGCAUCACAGCCAUUGCAGCCCCCAGGGUACCCGCUCCCCUUGCCCCCACUGAUGCAGGAAGCGUUGUCAAGGUGCACACAGUCUCCAUGCAACAGUAGGAACCAGCUAGGUGACAAAACACACAGUGCCAGGCAUGAUGCCCGCUCUGCUGGCUGGGCAGUGGCUGGCUGAAGGGAGGUGGGCUUAGGAGCAGCCCUAAGCGGAGGCAGCGGCACCCAGCAGCAACAGUCAUUGCAUGUGCCAGCCGCCUGCUUUACAGAAGCUCCCUGCAUGGGAGGAAAACCCGUGGGAUGCAGCCCCCGCCCUGAGCGAUGGGCAGGGAACCUGCCAAAGGUGCCAGGCGUAGCGGUGCCAACAUACGAAGUCUUUUCAAUUAAAAUAUAACAUUUACCUGUCCCCUCUCCCCCCCAGUGGGCUAGCUGAGAUUUUUCUCAUUUGUAUCAUUCCUCCUGCCUCCGCAAACUGAGGUAUGUGUCCGCGGGUGGGAAGGGAGAGUGGGGGGGCAGCUGUAGGGCCUGGCAU